UGACCUGGCUCGCUUGUCCAGCAAGGAGAGGAUUCCAGAGAUCCACCUGAAGUACGCCAUAUACCUGGAGGACGAGGGAAGGUUUCCUGAGGCUGAAGUCGAGUUCAUUAAAGCAGGAAAACCCAAAGAAGCCGUGUCGAUGUACGUCCACCACA